GGGCCCGCACAAGCGGUGGAGUAUGUGGUUUAAUUCGAUGCAACGCGAAGAACCUUACCAGGGUUUGACAUCCUGCGAAUCUCUUGGAAACAGGAGAGUGCCUUCGGGAACGCAGUGACAGGUGGUGCAUGGCUGUCGUCAGCUCGUGUCGUGAGAUGUUGGGUUAAGUCCCGCAACGAGCGCAACCCACGUCUUUAGUUGCCAGCAUUUAGUUGGGCACUCUAGAGAGACUGCCGGUGAUAAACCGGAGGAAGGUGGGGAUGACGUCAAGUCCUCAUGGCCCUUAUGUGUUGGGCUACACACGUGCUACAAUGGUACUUACAAUGGGAAGCAAAGAGGCAACUCCUAGCCAAUCCCUAAAAUGUACCUCAGUUCGGAUUGUACUCUGUAACUCGAGUGCAUGAAGCUGGAAUUGCUAGUAAUCG
rnacentral:rRNA from 1 species